AUGCACGCUGGCGGCGUGCCUCAUACAUGCAAGUCGAGCGAACAGAUGAGGAGCUUGCUCCUCUGACGUUAGCGGCGGACGGGUGAGUAACACGUGGAUAACCUACCUAUAAGACUGGGAUAACUUCGGGAAACCGGAGCUAAUACCGGAUAAUAUAUUGAACCGCAUGGUUCAAUAGUGAAAGACGGUUUUGCUGUCACUUAUAGAUGGAUCCGCGCCGCAUUAGCUAGUUGGUAAGGUAACGGCUUACCAAGGCAACGAUGCGUAGCCGAUCUGAGAGGGUGAUCGGCCACACUGGAACUGAGACACGGUCCAGACUCCUACGGGAGGCAGCAGUAGGGAAUCUUCCGCAAUGGGCGAAAGCCUGACGGAGCAACGCCGCGUGAGUGAUGAAGGUCUUCGGAUCGUAAAACUCUGUUAUUAGGGAAGAACAAAUGUGUAAGUAACUAUGCACGUCUUGACGGUACCUAAUCAGAAAGCCACGGCUAACUACGUG
rnacentral:rRNA from 1 species